rnacentral:lncRNA from 1 species
UGCAACCCAAGCCAUCACGUGAAGCAUCGCAAUACACGGUAUAUCCUAACUCUCGCUCAGGUAUAACAAGAAUCGGUGCUGAAGUCAAUCUCUUCUUAAGUUCUUGAAAAGAAUGCUCGCACGCAUUGUUCCAAAUAAAACAAAUUCCUUUCCUGUAAGUUGAGUAACGGUGCGACCUAAACGUGAAAAGUCCCUACAAAUCGUCCGGUAGUAACUGGCUAAACCUUAAAAAAACUACGAAUCUCAAUACAGGUCUUUGGUCGUUCCCAAUUAAUCACUGCCUCAAUCUUCGAUGAAUCAUAGCUACUCCAUUCAAUGAACAUAACGUGACCUAAAGAAUUUCCCUUAGGUAAUCAAAAAUUUGCACUUGCUCAACUUAGCCUACCAACGGGGCUCUCGCAAGGAGCCUUUGUUUGUAACAUAUCCUCAAAUGCUCCUCAUGUGACUCAAACCAAUGGUGAGUAGAUCAGAGGUCAUUCCAGAAUACACCACGAAACGAAACGGUCAGAUAUGGAUUGAGAUACGAUUUAAUCAUAAAAUCCAUGUGACAGCUGCUGGUGCAUUUGUUAAGACCAAAUGGCAUACAAGAAACUCAUAAUGCCCGUAGCGUGCGCGAAAGCCGUCUUUGCAAUGUCCCCCAUCCUUAAUUCGCAACUGGUGAUAACCCAACAUCAAGCGAUCUUCGAGAAGCAGCUCGAACCUUUCAAUUGGUAAAUAAGUAAUAAUCCUCGAAAGUGAAUACUGGUUCUUUAUCGUAACAUGAUUCAAUCGUCGAUAUCCAAACACAUCCUAAGCGAUCUUCCUUCUUCUUAGCAAACAAAGCCGAAGUCCCCAUGUGAUGCGAUAGGUCGGUAUAUAAAACCCCUUAUACAACAAUUCGUGAAUUGAACCUUCAACUCUUGCCCAAACUCUUCUAGUGCCAAAAUGAUUAAGGUGGGUACUAAGAUAGAUUGCGGGUGCCAGGCCUUACGAUCAAUGGAGAAACUCAAUCUCCCGAGUUGGAUGGUACUUCUGUCAAAUCCUAUAAAAAGACAUCCGGAAAUUCGCAAAUAACUUGUGGCAAAGCCACGCAAACUUGCUACCCUAAUGCGAACAGCACGCCAAAGAAAAGAAAAUUCAACUCCCCUUGCCUUGCACAUUAGUAGACGAAGGGGACAAAACACACCUUGAUCCCCCACGAAAUGAAAAGCCGAUCUCCUCGGUGUACAAAAACUAACCCGAUUAUCGACACAACUAUAGGGGCCGCCUGGCCCUAUAGUCAGUAAACCGUAUCCAUCCCAAGAUUAUGUCAAAAGAAGUCAUGUCUAACACAAAUAAUAACUAAAGUCAAACACAAAAAUGUCGAAUCAACGAUCUCACCCAUCACAAGAGCACAAACUGUCUCAGAAUGUUUUCCCCAAUUAGAGUGUCUAAUAUAAGCACUGAAUCUAACACUUCUAUUUUCAAUCCCAAUGCCAAGCCAAAGAUGAUGCGAUUGAUGAAUGAUGUGCUGCUCCCGUAUGUUGAUGAGAAUACGAGGCCCACAAAUUAAACAUGAGAAAAGUACCUUGCACAAACAGAGGUUACUAUCCACUGCUGCUCCUGCUGUCCAGUUGUCUCCGACGGUCCUGCUGCUGAUGUCAUAGCAUAACACGGCUGCGUCCUCUACCCUGUGAGCUAUAGCCUAUGUAUGGACUAAUAUGCAUAUGUGCUGAUGUAAAUGGUAGAGUGGCCCUCGAUGCUUGACUGAUCGAGUAAGUUGUUGUAAUCCAUCACUCCCUGACUGUUCCCCCUCAGUAUGCACUGAUGUAUGUAAAUGUCCAAAUUGGCCACAUGAAAACAAAGUAGGUGGUCCCCUACUUGUAUUGAUCCUUUGUGUUUGGCUAUAUGACGUGCCCUCGAUGCGACUACCUCAACUAGGCUUUCAGUGGGCGAGUUAAAACUCGAUGACCAUACUAGUGACAACCAAAUAAGGUCGGCCCUCUCCGAGUGUCUGGUCUAAUUGAUACUACCUGACAUGUUAGGUGAAGGUCUAACAGUAUACUGAGUGCUGAGUAGUAGUAGGAACUCUUUGGCUUCUUAAAGAACGCCCCUUAGAUUGUUGUUAGUUCCCUCACGUUGAGAUUUCGGAUUUGGGAUCUUUCUAGUCUUUUUAAUGUCUCCUCAAUGUCCGCCGCCGCACUAACCAUUGUAUGAGUAAACCUUAAUCAAGUUCCCCCCCGUAUCUUGUUCUUUUGGACGGCCUAAGCCCUCUCAUGAACUAUUUAGCUUUCUCUUCCUCCGUCGACACGAAUGCCUUCGCAACUUCGAUAAACUAGUGAAUUUCGCUUCAUAUUGGCCACAUUCAUGCUACUUGGACUAAAUUAAUGAACUCCAUCCUUCAGUGCCCUCCUUUGCUGUAUCUGUAAAGUAUUGAUCUAGAAAAGCCUUCCUAAACGUUUCCCACUUUUUGCCACACUCUCCUCCACAGUCUUCCACCAUGGCAUAGCGUCCCCUUGCACCUGACAAGAUCAAACAUUACCCUCAAUUCCUCCUCUGUCACCAAAAGUGUAUCUAAGGCUCUAGUGACCUAUUCUAGCCAAUCCUCUGCUAUUAAGAUCCGUUUUUACCCUUAAGUGGGCAGGCGAAGUUGAGAAAUGCCUCAUGGCCGGGUAGCCCUAGUGUCAAUUGCUAGCUGGCACUUGCAUUGCUGCACCGUGUUCCCUUACCACUUGUUUCAAUGGCAGUGAACACCCCUUGCAUGAAUUCUGGCACCACCAAAUAACUGCAGGUGAGGCACCUCCAGUACCUCCCAUAUUUCCUCUAGCUCCUCCCCCCUCACAGACUCUUGGUGAUUCUCGCCAUCCCCCUCUUACGGAUUCCCAUGACCCCAGAGCUCCUGUAAUGACCUCAUGCGCCCUCUUGCCUUGUCGUGGUGGCAUGUUCACAUAAUGUCAUAGGAAAUGAUAAAAUAAUCAUACUCAUUUAUGAUUAAAUCAAAAACAUUGUAGACUGCAGCAAAUAAUUAACAAGAUACCAUGUAUUUUCUUUGUAUCACUCAAUUACUCAUGUAACUUCCUCGUGUUACCUCUAAAUACCUAGACAACAAGGACAAACGUGAGAUAACCCACCAGACGGCCUCAUAGGUAUUCGAACCUAGAGCUCUGAGACCAGUUGGUCACGCUCCGGUAGAUCAAACACGACACGGCAACGUAAACAAACAAUAUAUGCGGAAAAGUCAAACUAAACAAUAUGACAAAAUAUACUGUCAUUACAUCGAGUAUGAUAAAUAAUGCCCAUGAUUUAUAAGUACAACAUUAAUCGAAUUUAAAUAUUCCAUGGACAAAACAUAAUGAAAUUUUAAUUUAGAUCGGACAUAUAAUCACCGUUAGAUUUCCAUGUCUCUAAUCUUCCUGACCCCAUAAGCUAAUCACACCAUAUUUUUUUUAAAAAUUUCCACAUUCUCAUUUCUUUCUAAUCUUCCUUUAUCCCGCGCACAAUCUCUCUUAUUUAUUUAUUUUAUUAUAAUUUUAUUUUAAUGAAAGUAGCAAUGAUUGUGUCUGACACAAAUCCUUUAUUAAAAUAAAUUUUUUUUUUUUUACCCCUCCAACUUAAAAUAUCCUUAAUUGAUUCCCAAAAGUUAUUCAUUUUUUAAUGAACCGUUAAAUAUAAUUUAAAACUUGAAUAUAAGUCUAACGAUUCAUAAAAAAAUUCCCAAAGUAAAAAAUGUAGUCAAUACAAUUUUACCCACAUCGGGCCAAAUGAACAUAUAAUUUUUCAAGAAUAAACAUUUAUAAAAAUAACAACCGGCAUCCACAUGCCUCACGAAUCAGGAUAAAUCUCCGGUUUACCUGAAAUUAAUUUUAUAGUAAAGGUAAGUUAUUUGAAAAAGAUUAACAAUGGACUUGAUGCUUCAAGCCAAAAUCUUGAACAUAAUCAUAAAUGAAAAUAUGAUUUAAUAAAAUAUGCUUUAUUUAUACCAAAAUUACUUUUGGUUUUAAUCCCUGAUUUCUCCAAUCAAAAACAAGUUUCUCAAUAUAUAUCCGGCACUUCUCGGGACUGUCACCGAAGUUUUGACAUACCCAAAUCCGGCCUACUUCUCGGAUUUUCGCCGAAGGUUUGAACAUUACCCAAUAGCCGGCUGCAUCUCGGUCACUAACCGAAGGGUCGGGACAUUCCCUCCCGCGGGGUUUAUAUUUUUGUCAUUAAGACUUUCAUUUCAGGCUUAUCUAAGCCAUCUAAUUCUAGUAUAUCCUAGUAUGUCAUUCUCAAAACUAUUUUCAAGAUCCACAUCAUAAAUGUAACUUGUAAUAGCUUUUAAUUGCAAACAAUCAAAAUAUAGCAAAUACUCAUAAUCAUCACACAACCCAAUAUAAAACUACAACAAAUAAACCCUCGUUUACCAUUUUAAUUAUAAAUCAAGUUUUUCCGUUUUAAGUUUAAUACUCAAAAUUAUACCUCAAUAGACUUGAUAUAAGUUAUUAACAACAAAUUCAAAGUAAAACCCCAACAAACUAACACUCUUUACCUCAAUUAAACACAAACAAGCUCCAAAAAUGAAGAAGAUGAGAUGAAUUCAAAAUACUUUGAUCUCUGAUAUUAUUGGCUCGAUAUGAAUCCCCCGUUGAGUAGAUAAUUUCUCUCCAAAUAAUCACCACUUGAAUCACACUUUACUCACUCUGAUCUAACACUAUAAACUCAAAACCCUUUGUGUUUCAAACACAUAGACAGAGAGAGAAGAGACAGAAUUGCGUGAGAGAAGGAGAAUGAUACGGGUGAAAGAGAGAGAUUUGAUAAUUAAAGAAGAGAUAAAGGAAAAAGAGAAAAAAUAAAAAGAAAGGUAAUGAUGAUGUCUGGGAUGAUGAUGUUGGGGAUUCAACAGUUAUGUAGGAAAUUUUACGCG